rnacentral:misc_RNA from 1 species
AACGCAACUUGCACUCUAGGUUCUCCUAGAGUAUGCCUAUUUGAGUAUCGGUACACCCCACUCACAACCACCCCCUCGUGGUGUGGUUUGGAUCUGAUGAGUCAUGCGCGCGAGCGUGUAUCCACACACACACACGCGCUGACUUGAAGUGUACACUGAAUCGGGCCUAUGUAUACUGUACAUGCGGCGCUGACGUGAUAGUCUCACAUGUUUGGGAACUCGUCAGGCACACAUGCCGCGUGUCGGUCAUAGUGACCCAGUCACACACACACAUCACAUACCCCAAUCUCGAUCUCAAAUUAGGUAGGACUACCCGCUGAAUUUAA